rnacentral:rRNA from 1 species
CCUACGGGAGGCAGCAGUAGGGAAUCUUCCGCAAUGGACGAAAGUCUGACGGAGCAACGCCGCGUGAACGAUGAAGGCCUUCGGGUCGUAAAGUUCUGUUGUUAGGGAAGAACAAGUGCUAGUUGAAUAAGCUGGCACCUUGACGGUACCUAACCAGAAAGCCACGGCUAACUACGUGCCAGCAGCCGCGGUAAUACGUAGGUGGCAAGCGUUGUCCGGAAUUAUUGGGCGUAAAGCGCGCGCAGGCGGUUUCUUAAGUCUGAUGUGAAAGCCCCCGGCUCAACCGGGGAGGGUCAUUGGAAACUGGGAAACUUGAGUGCAGAAGAGGAAAGUGGAAUUCCAAGUGUAGCGGUGAAAUGCGUAGAGAUUUGGAGGAACACCAGUGGCGAAGGCGACUUUCUGGUCUGUAACUGACGCUGAGGCGCGAAAGCGUGGGGAGCAAGCAGGAUUAGAUACCCUGGUAGUCCACGCUGUAAACGAUGAGUGCUAAGUGUUAGAGGGUUUCCGCCUUUAGUGCUGAAGUUACGCAUUAAGCACUCCGCCUGGGGAGUACGGUCGCAAGCUGAAACUCAAAGGAUUGACGG